AGAGUUUGAUCCUGGCUCAGAUUGAACGCUGGCGGCAUGCCUUACACAUGCAAGUCGAACGGCAGCACGAGAGCUUGCUCUUGGCGGCGAGUGGCGAACGGGUGAGUAAUAUAUCGGAACGUACCCUAGAGUGGGGGAUAACGUAGCGAAAGUUACGCUAAUACCGCAUACGAUCUACGGAUGAAAGUGGGGGAUCGCAAGACCUCAUGCUCAUGGAGCGGCCGAUAUCUGAUUAGCUAGUUGGUGGGGUAAAAGCUCACCAAGGCGACGAUCAGUAGCUGGUCUGAGAGGACGACCAGCCACACUGGAACUGAGACACGGUCCAGACUCCUACGGGAGGCAGCAGUGGGGAAUUUUGGACAAUGGGCGCAAGCCUGAUCCAGCAAUGCCGCGUGAGUGAAGAAGGCCUUCGGGUUGUAAAGCUCUUUUGUCAGGGAAGAAACGGUGGACUCUAAUACAGAUCACUAAUGACGGUACCUGAAGAAUAAGCACCGGCUAACUACGUGCCAGCAGCCGCGGUAAUACGUAGGGUGCAAGCGUUAAUCGGAAUUACUGGGCGUAAAGCGUGCGCAGGCGGUUGUGCAAGACAGAUGUGAAAUCCCCGGGCUCAACCUGGGAAUUGCAUUUGUGACUGCACGGCUAGAGUGUGUCAGAGGGGGGUAGAAUUCCACGUGUAGCAGUGAAAUGCGUAGAGAUGUGGAGGAAUACCGAUGGCGAAGGCAGCCCCCUGGGAUAACACUGACGCUCAUGCACGAAAGCGUGGGGAGCAAACAGGAUUAGAUACCCUGGUAGUCCACGCCCUAAACGAUGUCUACUAGUUGUCGGGUCUUAAUUGACUUGGUAACGCAGCCAACGCGUGAAGUAGACCGCCUGGGGAGUACGGUCGCAAGAUUAAAACUCAAAGGAAUUGACGUGGACCCGCACAAGCGGUGGAUGAUGUGGAUUAAUUCGAUGCAACGCGAAAAACCUUACCUACCCUUGACAUGUCUGGAAUCCUUGAGAGAUCAGGGAGUGCUCGAAAGAGAAUCAGAACACAGGUGCUGCAUGGCUGUCGUCAGCUCGUGUCGUGAGAUGUUGGGUUAAGUCCCGCAACGAGCGCAACCCUUGUCAUUAGUUGCUACGAAAGGGCACUCUAAUGAGACUGCCGGUGACAAACCGGAGGAAGGUGGGGAUGACGUCAAGUCCUCAUGGCCCUUAUGGGUAGGGCUUCACACGUCAUACAAUGGUACAUACAGAGGGCCGCCAACCCGCGAGGGGGAGCUAAUCCCAGAAAGUGUAUCGUAGUCCGGAUUGUAGUCUGCAACUCGACUACAUGAAGUUGGAAUCGCUAGUAAUCGCGGAUCAGCAUGUCGCGGUGAAUACGUUCCCGGGUCUUGUACACACCGCCCGUCACACCAUGGGAGCGGGUUUCACCAGAAGUGGGUAGCCUAACCGCAAGGAGGGCGCUCACCACGGUGGGAUUCGUGACUGGGGUGAAGUCGUAACAAGGUA
rnacentral:rRNA from 1 species